UACGUAGGGCGCAAGCGUUAUCCGGAAUUAUUGGGCGUAAAGAGCUCGUAGGCGGCUUGUCGCGUCGACUGUGAAAAACCCGUGGCUCAACCAUGUGGUCUGCAGUCGAUACGGGCAGGCUAGAAUUCGGUAGGGGAGACUGGAAUUCCUGGUGUAGCGGUGAAAAUGCGCAGAUAUCAGGAGGAACACCGGUGGCGAAAGGCGGGUCUCUGGGCCGAUAUUGACGCUGAGGAGCGAAAGCGUGGGGAGCGAACAGGA
rnacentral:rRNA from 1 species